rnacentral:rRNA from 1 species
UACGGAGGGGGCUAGCGUUGUUCGGAAUUACUGGGCGUAAAGCGCACGCUAGGCGGCUUUGUAAGUUAGAGGUGAAAGCCCAGGGCUUAACCCUGGAAUUGCCUUUGAUACUGGAAGUCUUGAGUAUGGAAGAGGUAAGUGGAAUUGCGAAUGUAGAGGUGAAAUUCGUAGAUAUUCGCAGGAACACCAGUGGCGAAGGCGGCUUACUGGUCCAUUACUGACGCUGAGGUGCGAAAGCGUGGGGAGCAAACAGG